GAAGCGGAGCAAAUCUCAAAAACCGGUCCCAGUUCGGAUUGUAGGCUGCAACUCGCCUACAUGAAGUCGGAGUUGCUAGUAAUCGCGGAUCAGAAUGCCGCGGUGAAUGCGUUCCCGGGUCUUGUACACACCGCCCGUCACACCAUGGAAGUUGGGGGCGCCCGAAGUUGCCUAAGAAAUAAGGUACCUAAGGCGAAACCAAUGACUGGGGUGAAGUCGUAACAAGGUACC
rnacentral:rRNA from 1 species